rnacentral:rRNA from 1 species
AUUGAACGCUGGCGGAAUGCUUUACACAUGCAAGUCGAGCGGCAGCGCGGGGCGAACCUGGCGGCGAGCGGCGAACGGGUGAGUAACAUAUCGGAACGUACCCAGUCGUGGGGGAGUAACUAUCCGAAAGGAUAGCUAAUACCGCAUACGACCUGAGGGUGAAAGGGGGGGAGUCGCAAGACCUCUCGCGAUUGGAGCGGCCGAUAUCGGAUUAGCUAGUUGGUGAGGUAAAGGCUCACCAAGGCGACGAUCCGUAGCUGGUCUAAGAGGACGACCAGCCACACUGGAACUGAGACACGGUCCAGACUCCUACGGGAGGCAGCAGUGGGGAAUUUUGGACAAUGGGGGCAACCCUGAUCCAGCCAUUCCGCGUGAGUGAAGAAGGCCUUCGGGUUGUAAAGCUCUUUCGGCAGGAACGAAACGGUGAGCUCUAACAUAGCUUGCUAAUGACGGUACCUGAAGAAGAAGCACCGGCUAACUACGUG